AGAGUUUGAUCCUGGCUCAGGACGAACGCUGGCGGCGUGCUUAACACAUGCAAGUCGAGCGAUGAAGCUCCUUCGGGAGUGGAUUAGCGGCGGACGGGUGAGUAACACGUGGGUAACCUGCCUCAUAGAGGGGAAUAGCCUUUCGAAAGGAAGAUUAAUACCGCAUAAGAUUGUAGUACCGCAUGGUAUAGCAAUUAAAGGAGUAAUCCGCUAUGAGAUGGACCCGCGUCGCAUUAGCUAGUUGGUGAGGUAACUGCUCACCAAGGCGACGAUGCGUAGCCGACCUGAGAGGGUGAUCGGCCACAUUGGGACUGAGACACGGCCCAGACUCCUACGGGAGGCAGCAGUGGGGAAUAUUGCACAACGGGGGAAACCCUGAUGCAGCAACGCCGCGUGAGUGAUGACGGUCUUCGGAUUGUAAAGCUCUGUCUUUAGGGACGAUAAUGACGGUACCUAAGGAGGAAGCCACGGCUAACUACGUGCCAGCAGCCGCGGUAAUACGUAGGUGGCAAGCGUUGUCCGGAUU
rnacentral:rRNA from 1 species